CCAUGUGAUGUCACAUAUCUACAGAUUCCUGGGGCCUUGUGGGGACUGUUCUGUCUCCUACAAUGGCCUUUCGAGGGGCGUUCAGAGCACUCUGUUGCUUGCAGCGGAGGAGGCGUGGACUCCAGGCGCCAGCACUGAUCACCUGCGCUCUGGGAGGCAGUGGUUUCGGUCCCUCGGAUGUGCCACUGAACCCCAGGAACCAAGAGCAGAGCCCAACACUGGGAAGAAUGAAGGAAGGAAGGAAAAGGAGCUUACGUGUCAGCAGACCUGCAGCUUCUCAGGUGCAGGUGAAUAAACGGCGUGUGGGUACGGACGGCCGCCAAGGGGACCAGCUGUGCCCUCCCCCGCCCCUGCCCCGGGCACUCGUGCUCACCCCCGAACCCAGCUGCUACUCCGUAUCGCCAUCACCCUGACUCAGUCCAGGAUAGCAGGCACUUACCAGUCACUGAACAGAUAAAACGAUAAUCUAUAAACAUGAUAUUCAAAGAG